ensembl:lncRNA
CGCGGGCCGGGCGCCGGCUCCCGAGAAGCCCUGGGAAUUGGGGGCCACGGGUCCUCCGGAGGCGCUGCCGUAUUCCCUGCCCGUCUUCCCCAGGUCGGCAGCAUCUCUUCCGGACCCGGACUCGGUACCACUUGGCUCGCGUCUCAGCACCCCGAGGUUGGUGGGUCUGAGGGGUCUUGGCCGAGUCGGGUGCCGGGUGAUCUGGUGAGGACGCUGAGGUCUGACCGAGGCGAGCCGAGGUGAGGGGUCGGUGGCGUGGGUCCCCCUCGCCCCCAGACACACUCAGUUCGGGUUGGAUCUGAGGUGUGAAGGAAAAGUUUGUACCGCCUACGUGUUGCUUGAGGGGAGCGAUACUUAGUAGGGGUACCUUGGAUGUUUCCUGGCGACUGCGCUUCUGAGUCUAUACUGCAGAAAACGGGGUUUUAAGGAAAGUUCAGGAGGCUGCGGGAUGGGAGAUGGAGCAGUUGCAUUACUGCGGUGAGGGGUGAGGAGAGUGAUGCCUUUCCGAAGGUAAACUGGUUAAUUAAGCGCCACCGAGGGUGUCACAGUGGGGAUGGGAGGGAGCGGAGGACAGGGGGCGUGCCCUGAUCGCCCAGCCCUCAGCGUUGGUUUGGGUCUGUGGCAGUCGCCCACUUGUCCAGAGCGAGAGGUGCUGGUGUCGCAGGCCUGGGUGUCUGUGGGCUGCCAAAGGACCGAGCUGCCCUCCAGAGCCCAGAGGCGCAGCGUCCGGAGAGGUGGCCCGUGGCGGGGAGCUGAGCCUGGGACUCUUGUGAUGUGGACUUGGAAAAUUCUCCAGUGAGUCUCCUGUACUCUGAUUUCAGGAAGAUCUGCCCCGUUUGUUUUCCCUGUCAGGAGGGUGCGUGCAAUUUCCUAAAAGGAACUUCUAGGUUUACUGUAGCAGUUUGAAAUCUGUGAGAAAUGGGAUGUGUGCGUAUACACACAGUAUAUCCCAUUACAUGUGAAUACCGUGUGUGUGUGUGUGUGUGUGUGUGUGUGUGUGUGUGAAAAAUGGAGGUGAGGUAAGAAGGGAUUAAAAAGUUUCACUUCUUCCAGAAAAGAGCGUGAAGAGUUAAUAUUUUUUUCUCUUCAAAAAGUAAAAUAACGCUUAUACAACUAGAUAAAUACUCUUGGUGUGUUGAGGUUGGCUCAUAAUGAGUAAGAUUGAGGAAUGUAUUUGGAGCAACAAUCAUGUUCUCCAAUCUUGCAGGCAUUAUUGAAACCUAGGACAUAGAUAUAUAGAGAACCUAUAUUAAAGAAAAAUGUAACUUAAAAUCUUUGGAAACAAAACUUAAAAUCUUUUGGUAUUUGAAAAGUCUGGAUGUUAUUUCCUGAUGCCCCAGAAAUCUUUUUAAUCCUGUAAUUAGUAACAGCACAGAAUAAGUUAUGGUUAAUAAAUGAGGACAAUAUAAAAAUCAUGUUCGGAAAAGAUAUCUUUUGAACUACUCUUUGGUGCUUUGGAUGUUUAUUAUGGAAGUUAUUGUGACUGAAAAUUUCUUGUUCGGUAUAUUUGCCUUUUACCACAGAUAAUUGAUCUUCUUUAUCCUUUUAAACCACUUUUCCAGUUUGGGCCAAUUUAAUUACCAAAACAUCAAAUCACUGAUGUGUCUUCUGGAAACCAUUCAUAUUAAAAAGCUUAAUAAGAAUAUUAUAUUUCCAAGAGACCGAAUAAUUUAGUCAGUUGUAAAACUUGUAUGUAAUUUGUUCUCAUCUAUUUUAUUCGAAUGGGGCAAAUCUCAAGAUGGGCAGCAUUUUGGGGGAAUGUGUUAUUUUUCUGUGUGGAAAAAGACUAAUGUUUUCGUAUAUGUUUCAGCUGCCACACAGGUGCUUGUGCAGUGGGAAUCUUGAGUCUGACCUUUGAUGGGUUGCCAGCUAGAGGGAGACAUGCUUUCCAGGCUUUGCUCCUGCAUCGCUAAUCUUCACCACAGAAUGGGCAGGGUUAGACUCACGGAAGACUGUGCAGAAGGAAGUUAAGUUUUAAAUUAAGGACUGGUUUGUAGAUAGGAGAUAGAUUUUUCUCCUCAGUCUUGCUGUUCUUCUUUCUCUGUGAUUCAGCCUGUUGUGCUCGCCUCUAUUGGAAAUGCAGACCAACACUGGCUAGAAAGUGUUUGGCAUAACAAGCCGCCAUUUUCUAGAAAAAUAAUAAUAGCUCCUCUAAAGUUCAAGCAGUCCAUGUGUGGCUCAACUAGGUCCUGUGCUUGGGAGUUGCAUCACAUGUUGGUCAGGGCUGCAGUCUCAUUGAACCACAGAAAGAGCUGCUUCCAAGAUUUCUUAUAUUGAUAGUGGAAUUUAUCUCCUUGUGGCACUCUCUGCUCUUAGAAGCUGCCUUUGCCAGGUAACCCUCUCAGGCCCUCAUACAACAUGGUAGUGUGCUUUUUUAGUCUUUUUUGCUCCAAUUGGAUAAGACCAAAUCUAAUAUAAUUAAUAGAUAAUAAAUAUAUGAUAUAAUUAAUGGAGUGACAGCCAUCACCUCUGCCAUACUCUUUUGGUUAAAAGCAAGACAUAUGUUCUGCCCAAACUUGAGAGGAGGGGAUUGUACAAAGGCAUGACCGUUGGAGGUCACUUUGGAAUAUGUCUACCACACUGACUGCCUCCUAAAUCUGGUAUGGUGAAUAAACGUGGUUUAGAAGCCAGUCAGAAACAGGUCUCAAAAUCACUCUAUAGACUGGUCCUGUGAGACACUUGCUGCUACUGCCAAUACAAGCCUCUAAGGGGAAAGUGUUUUCUGUAGUAUAGUUCUCCA